rnacentral:lncRNA from 1 species
CGAAGGGACAGCUCUGGAGACUCGUGAUUCCGGAACCCGGAUGAUCCAGAACAGACGGUGAAGAGACAAAACAGCGUGAAAGGGAGCGGCGAUACCUAAACUGACCUCCGGAGGGCAGCAUGAUCAAGGGAAGGAGCUGUUCUCGCUCCGCUCAAACCCCCGCGCAGCCUCUGCAGCUUACUCCUGCUUCGGAAGGCGGCGAGGUUCCACCCCCACCACCCCGGUCCCCGCCGCCCUCUUCGCGCUGAAGCUGCGGAGGGUCUUU